AAACUGCUUACGCUUUCAUAUAUAAUAAGCCCAGAGUUAGGCUUAGUUUGGUAUUGAGGCCGAUAUGACAUUAUUAGAUAAAAUGGAGUUGGGGUAAAAACAUAUACAGAUAUGCUUCUGCAUUUUUCGGUAGGAUCGCAGAAAAUAUAUCAUAACCGACUCAUUGUGAUAUGCGGAAUGCAAUAUUACGUACCGAAACAAACAUGACAUUUUUUCAUCGUAUUUUGUCAUCGCACAUAACGCAAUCUUCCCGCAAUUCCAAACGAAGUCUUAAAGGAGGGACCAAUGAUUCCGUGA
rnacentral:lncRNA from 1 species